AAAAAAAAAAUCUAACUUGAUUAGACUCUAAAUUUAAUUGAGACAAAAAAAAAAUCUUAUAAUAUAUGUUUUAUUGCGAAGAAUAACACCAAUAGUUAAUGAAAAAAAAGAAAGAAAUAUUUUACAAUAAACUCCAUAAUUAAAGGGUGUGCUGCUAGUUCCUAGUUCUAGAUGGAAGACAAAAUUAAGGGAUGGGCGUUUAAAUCAAUGGCAUUAAUAAAAUUAUUAAGUUUUGUUUGGCUUCUUCAUCCUUCUUUUUCCAAUGAAAAUCUCAAAAGACCAACAUCCCCUUUACUUGUCCCAUUCUCCAAAAUCCCACGAGACCACCUCCAUAUCCAUGAAUAUUCAAAUCAUUAACAAAAUUAAACCCAGAAAAUAAUUUUGAUUAUCCGCCGUUUGAUGGGUGAAUUGAAGGUACAUAAAUAAGAAAGAAAUACAAGGAACCUCAUCAUUUCAAGUGCAGCCCCCCCCAUUCCUUUCGAAAAAAUCAAAGAUAAAAAUGUCUAGGAAAAACAAAACCCACAAAUUUCAAUAGAAUGGAUUGCUUGGAUGGUGAAGUGAAGGACUCCAUUCAGUUGCUCGAGAAAGAAAAUAAAAACAAACAUCUAUCUUACUUCUAAAUUGGGAAGAAAUUAAGAAUGAUUUACAAUUUGGUUUAUUUUUUUUAAGCCACCAAAAUCUGAGUCAAAUCUCAAUCAGUCAAACUUUUUAUAACCCAAUGAACCCCAAUUAGUCUAUCAUCCUUGAACAAUGUAGUUUCUAAAUUAUUUUAAAACUUCAUUUUUCAAUUUGCAAAAUACCCACUUGCCCCUAUUAAAUUGUGAGAAAUCAGAGUAAAAGAGGGAAGAAAUAGAAAGUUGAUGAAAAACUUCAUGCUUUUAAGGGAGGUUUUUCCUUUUUUUUAUAUAUAAAAUUGAAAUUAGUACUUACAUGUAAUUGCGAGCGAGACUUAAAUUCUAGUACAAAUAAAAUGUUAUUAUUAGCUGUGAUUUUCAAAUUAAUCAACAUUUUCCAAAUUCAGAAAAUUCUUUUAGAGGAACAAAAUUAAAUUAUAAAAUUUUCCCAAAAUUCACUUUAUGGAAUCAUUAGCAUUUAAACACAAAGAUUAUUUAAACAAAGAAAAUGGCAUAUUACCAAUCAUCCUUUCCCCACAAUAGGAAACACCCGUCAUUGCUCCCAACGAUCCUUAUCAAUCCUUUGAAACUUGAGCUUCUAAAUAUCCCCCCUUCUCUUUAUAACCUUUUCCCCUCUCCCCACCCACUUUACUCUCACUCUCUCAACCCUCUUUCCCUUUCAACCAUGGAUCCAUCUUCCACAACCUCAGUCAAUGGCUUCUACACCUUCCUCACUCGUGGCAUAGAUGAUCUUGAACGUGUUUAUCUCUCUAAUAACUUCAUGUCUAUCCAAUUCCUUCAAAGGGUUCUUUCCCUCCUUCGAUCUUUCCACUCCCAACUCCUCCUCCUUGUCCAAAAACUCCAUCUUCCCGUCGGUGAUAAGUGGCUUGAUGAAUACAUGGAUGAAAGCUCCAAGCUUUGGGAAGCUUGUCAUGUCCUUAAAACAGGCCUUUCUAGCAUGGAAAAUUAUUACUCUGCAGGGUUUAACAUCACUUCUUCUCUCGAUAAUCAUCGCCAUCUUAACCCCCAGGUUUCUAGACAGGUCAUUAAAUCAAACCCCCAAAUGUGAAUCCUUUUUAUGGUUUUUUAUUUGAUGAUGAUCUGAAUAUCUGAUCUUUGUUUUAAAAAAACCCCCCAAACAGAUAAUCCGAGCAAUUUCAGGGUGUCGAAGAGAAGCGUUGGGGCUUGAAGAAGAAAACAAAGCGUUGAUGCAAACCAGAAUCCAACCACUCUCAUUAAGGUUCGACGAGAGGGUUUCAAUCGAAUCAAAGCUGAACGGAUUCAAUGGCUUCCGAGGAGUAUUAUACGCAAUGAGGAACGUCAGUUCGUUGUUGCUGAUGAUCUUGUUGUACGGCCUGGUGUAUUGUUGGCCGGAAUCGAGUUUCCUACGAGGAGGGUACGAAGGGUGUUUGUUUUUCGGGUCAACAUUCAUGAUAUCAACGGCGAGGUUGCAGCAAAGAGUAGCCGAACAGAUAAACCAAAUGAAUGGGAGAGGAGGGAUAUUGAUGUACGAAUACAGGAGGGCAAAAAUGGCGAUGGAAGAAGUGAAGGAAGAAAUGGAGAGAAAAGGAGGGGAAAAUAGGGAAGAAGGGAUGAGGGAAAGAGUAGAGAAGAUGAAAGGGUGUUUUGGGGUGUUAAGAUGUGGAACAGAGAGUAUAAUAGCCCAAAUUGAUGAUUUCUUUGAUGAGAUUGUUGAAGGGAGGAAGAAACUUUUGGAUUUUUGCAGUCACAGGUAGAAUUUAAAAAAAAAACAAAAAAAAAACACAACACCAGUACUAGGAAAUUUGAUAAUGUUAAGGUAGUAGAUGAAGGAAUCACUUGUUUUGGGGGGUUGUCUCGAGUACCCUUUUUUUUCUUUCUUUCCUUUUUUUAAUUAAAAAAAUGUUUUCUUUUUAUCUCUUCACUCAUUGACUGCUUCUGUGAAGAUACUAAUAUUAAGGGUGCGUUUGGUUCGCUGUAUUGGAUUAGAGGUGUAUUGGAUUAGAGAUGUAUUGGAUUAGAGGUGUAAUAGCAAAUCAACUGUUUGGUUGAAUGUAAUGGAAUAGAGGCGUAAUAGUAAUCUUGUGUUUGGUUGAAUGGAAUAGAGGUGUAAUAGCAUAAUGGAAAAAACUAAAAUAAAUAGAAUACCAUAAAUUUGUUUUGGUAAAUGAUUAUUGUUAUUGUUAUUUAAAUUUUAAUAAGAUUAUUAUUAUCAAUAAUAAAUAAUUUAAUCAUAUUUAAACAUAAUUAUUAUUAAAUAUAUUAUAAUUAAAAUAUAUAAUUUAAUAAAAUUCUUAAUAAUUAAUAUUCUUAUAUGAAUUUACUCAAAUCAUAAUAUAUGAUACUAUAAAAUAUAAUUUGAAAUAAUUAAUAUUAAAUAUAUUUUAAUUAAAAUAUAUGAUUUAAUAAAAUUUAUAAUAAUUAUACCUAAUAAAUUUUCUUAUAUGAAUUUGUAUAAUUUAAAAUAAUUAUUAUUAAAUAUAAUUUAAUAAUAAUAUAUAAUUUCAUAAAAUUCUUGAUAAUAAAUUUUCUUAUAUAAAUUUAUAUAAUUUAAAAUAAUUAAUAUUAAAUAUAAUUUAAUAAUGAUAUAUAAUUUCAUAAAAUUCUUGAUAAUAAAUUUUCUUAUAUGAAUUUAUAUAAUUUAAAAUAAUUAAUAUUAAAUAUAAUUUAAUAAUGAUAUAUAAUUUAUACAUUUAACCAGUGCCAAGCAUUAUGACCUUUAAGCAAUGUUGAACUUGAUCACCCAAAUUUUCACAAAUACUGUUAAUUACUUAAUUCAAACUGCAUUGUACAAAAUGCCGGUCAGAUCAUUUCAACCUUCCAGCUACCAACUAAUAUGUUUUCCAAUUUUCUAGCCCACCCAAACUUUACAAAAUGCUAGAUAGCAUAUUAGUCACAAUCAUAUUCACAUCACUAACUAUAUCCGAAAAUGAAUGACCCUGGGAAAAAUUACAAAUAUUACAUGGAUUUCAUUCAAUCAAUGUUGAUGUAGAAGCAUCCUUGCCCUCUGUUGAAGUUGAGUCAAUGACCUAAUACAAGUGCCCUCCUCGCAUGUCUUUAAGCGUGUAAGGCUGAUUAGUUCCCGAAUAAAAACUACAAGACUACUUUGCAUUGGCAACUUGUCUUCAGAUCCCUUGCUUCGGUGUUUCCCUUAUACAACCUCAAAUUCUCUAGACUUACUGGCAGUUGUUCGUAGUACUGAGUCAGGAAGCCCUAAAAUGAUUACCAGUCAGGUGACAUUCAUCAUAGCAGAUGCUAAAAUUUUGCAAUCCAGUCGAUUCUCUAUAAACAAAGAUGUAGAUAAAUACAACAAAAUAUAUCUACAUCUUUUUGUCCUAAAGGUUCUCAAUAACAGAAGGUAUUGAUUAAUGCACAUUUCAACAAUCUGAGAAUAUGAACUAAAUUCAAGGAAAAAUCAACACUAAAAUAGCAAUGAGCCCUGCAUUUUACAAAUUUUCACUAAACAAAUUGGCAGAUAAGACUUCAAACUGAUGCUGUACAACUCAAAAUAUCUCAUUCACUCUCUCUGCACCUAAUAUAAUUUGCCAAUUAUAAAUGCUAUAAACUUCAGUUUAAAAAAUAUAUUAUCCAACAGAAAGCAGACACACCUUGGAAUUGUUCUUAUAGUCCACAGCUAAACGGUGGUAGUGUGUUGAAAACAUCCCUCGGCAUUGCACCUAAUAUAACUCAUAUUUCAAAUUACAGCAUAAGGGUCAACAAAGAACUUAAUUUGGAAGGUUUCAGAAAGAUGAGUGAAAAUUUCUGCUUGGACUGAUGGAAAAAGUUGCACCAACUUACAAAAUGGAGGACCUAAUGCACAUGUUUAAGGAACUGCUACAAAGAUUUGAUCGUCAGUCAACUAAGUCCGUCCAUGCCAAAGCCCAUAAUUCAAAUAUCAGUUAAAAGAAAUGAAACAAAUGACACUCACACUUCUCCAAUAUCAGAUUGACAAGCAGAUCAGACAACUAGAAGAACAAUAAAUAAUUGAAAUGGCCAAAGAAUCCUACUUUCAGUACCCACUACCAUUUUAUUGGGCUUGAAUUGGUAACACAAACACACACAAUCAAGAAAUUAAAUGUAGAUGAAAUCUAACCUUGAAUAACAUUGUUAUCUUGGUCAAUUUUUUCCAAUGCAGGAAUGCAAAAUGCUGCAGUUUUCCCAGUUCCAUUUUUGGCUCUAGCAAGAAUAUCACUUCCAGUUAAAGCAAUGGGAAUACUCUCUUCCUGAAUAGGAGAUGGUCUUUCAAAGCCCUUCUCAUAUAUUCCCAUAAUAAGUUCACGUUUCAGAAAGUAGUCUUCAAAUUCAUUUCCUUUGGUAGCAGUCACAUCCUGGCACAAAUUUAAUAGGCAGAUCAGUACAUAAGCGUCAAAAUUAAAAUUUUAAAAAAUAUCCAAAUACCAACAAAAGCACUGCCAUGCCCUGUGUGAAAUUUAUAUCAGAGAAACAAUAUGGAGUGCUAUCGAGGAUAAAGAAAUGCAAUUGCAAGCCUAAAAAUGGCCCUUUGUUCAAAAGGCCUCAACAUCAAGGAACUAGUAUCAGUGUCCUUAAGUUAUAAUCUUUGGAAACUGUCCAUUCAAAAUCAUAUACCUUAUAGGAAAUUAAUGAGUAAUUCACCUGCAUUGCCCAAAUAACAUAAGCCAGAAAUUUUUCCUUCGAGAAUUUUCAUAGUUUAACGAAGGUAUGACAAUUAUAUAUAGUGAAAUAAACAAAACCAAUGCUACAAUUUCUUUAACCAUAACUGGUAAAAGCAGAAACUUCAAGGAAUUUUUAAAACGAUAGGUAAGCUAUGCAAUAUUAUUAAAAAGGUUGUAUUAACUUCAAUAUCUACUCAAUUAAUAUCAUUAACAAAAAUACCUCCGUUUUGUAGCGUGUAUCUGAUGGUGGCAUCUUUAGCCUUGCCUUCCAAUCAUGUGAACUGAAAGAUGAAAAAGAAUGUAAAACCGUGCACAAUUCAAUAUGAAAUACAUAAAAGAAAAUUCAAUAAAAAAAUUAAUAACUGUAAACAAUGCACAAGAAAUUUAAUUUGUGAAAAAAAUAUAAUUAUGAACAUUCAAUACGUAACAUGUACAAGAAAAUUAAAUAAAAAUUAAUCACAAAUGCAAUUAAAAAGAAAAAAGGAGAAGAAACAAAAAAGAACCUUGAGUUGACGACUUCAGAUUGUACGGCCUUCUCGACCUCAUCGGCGACAGUGGACUCAUUUCCGCCGGGCAAUUGGUUUCAUCUGAGCCACUGCUGUUGAUGUUGUUGCUGUUUGCAGAUGAUGAUGAUGAUGAUGAUGAUGUUGUUGUUGUUGAAAAUGAUGAUGAUUCUGCACCAAAUUUCUCUGCGCAUACUGCGGUUGCUCCAGCCUCGAUUGAAAGCUAGGGUUCGCGUUCGCUCCGCGGCUAUGGCUGAGCACCGAUGGAUACCUCCCUCUAUUAUUCGUAGCACGGCCCUAAACUCCCUAAAAAACAAACAAAUUCUAAAACCUAGGAAAAAAAUAGAAAUCUAUAUAUACAACCGCAAAAAAGGAAGUUAAAGAGUGGAGUUUCUUCCAAUGGGUUAACGCCGUAAAUAGUGGCAAAACCAAGGGUCGUCCUACGAAACAACGCUGCUAGGGUUGGUUAGAUGAAGAAAAAAAACCGGUUAGAUGGGAAAUUUAAAAUGAAAAUGGUGGGUGCUGCUGCGCAGAUCUAUUGAGAAAAUAAUAAUACAAAAAAAAACAUAUAACAGGGAGAAGGAGAAACAGCGAGGAGAGUGGAGAAGAAAGGUAGAAGGAAGAAACAGAAGACUUUGGGUAAGACAGAAGCGUCAAUCGGGAGGCUAAAACAGGGAAGAAAAUUGAAUCAGGACCUAAACUGAGCAAAAGGGAUGUAUUACAAAUCGGUGGAUUUCACCGAUUAAGUAAGUAACGUAUUACACCCGUAAUAGCAUUACCAUGAACCAAACAAUGGACUAAAGGGGGCUUAAGUGGGGCCCACUGAUUAGGGGUGUAUUGGCAUAGCCAAUACACCCAACCAAACAUGCUGUAAGUACUAUUUUGUUUUUCCAUGCUUAUAUAAUUUUUUGGGUAAAUUACAUCUAAGGUUAUGAAACUAUUAAUAAGUUUAUAUUUUAUUCAUUCAACUCUAAAAAAUUACAAGUUGGCCUCUAGUAUGUUAAGUUUCUUAUGGAUGUCAGACGUGUGGACCGGUAAAUUUAUAAUUUGAUCAACCAAUUAUUAAUAAAUUUACAAUUUAGUCACUCUUAGUAUAAUUUAAUAUAUAUUUUAAAAAUUAAAACAAUUAAAUAAAAUAGGCUUCUUAACUAAACAAAAAAAAACCAUUCUCAGUAGUGUCUUAACUAAUAUAACUAACCCUUUAUAUUAUAUAAAAAUAUUUGAAGGAAAUUAACAAAUUUAACUAAUAGCUUUUAUAUUAAUAUGAAAAAAAAACUUCUUCACAGUCACUUGACCUAAAAUAUUAAUAUUAACACAAAACCUAUUAAUAUAAAACCGCUUUUCCCAGUAGCCAAUUAAAAUAAAAAAUUUACAUAUCAAGUCCCUAAACAUUUUAAGUCAUCACAUUUCAAUUUGAUAUCACCAAUAUGUGAGGCGAUAUUGGCGGAACACCGUAAUAAAUGUCUAUUUUCAUAAUGUAAAUAUAUAAUAUCUUGAAUAUAACUAUCAUAAAAAAAAUAAUUUGAAUAUGAUACAAAUAUACAUAUCUUUCUAGUUUCUUCCCCUCCUCUAAUUUUAUCUUCCUUUUCCUUCUCUUUCACCACAAGAAGUGGUAAGAAAUAUCUUAAUUAUGUUGGGAUAUCGAAGCAUCAAUGGUAUAGAGAAAAAUUAAAUAUGAUGAUCACAGACCAUGAAUUCAUGUGCGUUAUGAUAUAUUCGAGAAAAAGAAAAGGUUUUGAAAUAUAACUUUGGUUGAUCUAAGUAGAUAAUCCGAAUUCACGACACAAGCAAACCUCAAUCACAACUUUUCUCGCUUCGGCCCCUACAUCAUCCACUUCAUUUGAAUGAUUAGAAUUCACUCUUUGGUUUUUAAAAGACUAUAUGAAAUUCUCUCUUGUGCUAUCUAGUAGGAAUUUCUAUCCAAGUAAAAACAUGAUUCUGUAUCUUGUAAUUAUUUCAUAAUUAUGAUAGAAGAUAUUUUUAACUCUCAUUUAAACCACCUAGUUUAAUGUGACAUUUUUAUUAAAUAAAAUCUAUCAAAAAGAUUAUUUUAGUUAUGUAAAUGUUAUACCCUAACCAUUCGGACCGAGCAUUAAGCCUACAGAAGAUGCGAGUUAACCCCUUGGACAAACUUUUCGGAGGAAACCCUCUAGGCCAACAAUUGAACGAGCCCCACUCAUUAACUGUAACACUAGACUCCUGCCGUAACAUCUCAUCUGAGGUGCCACAAGGUAAAUCAUGUGCCACCUUACCCUGGCCUAUACCAUCAGACCACUUAACUUUAGCCAUCCAAUAGCAGCCUGCCACAUGACACCUGAGAUAUGAGAUUAAAGGUAUAAGGCCUAAACUAAUCAAGAAACAAAGGAUCUCCUCUCAAAACCAACUUUUACAACCUUUCUCCCUUUCUUCUCCCUUAUUACCACUAUUGACUACCUUAACCGAUAGCUCUUUACCUUCUACUGAACGAGGUGAGACCUACAUCCUCACCAUACUCUCUACCUUGUUUGUUUAACCCAUCAACAAUUAGUGCAAUAAGUAUGACCAAUGAUAUAUACUGUAGCGACGUAAAAAUUGGUUCCGGGGUCGCUAAUUGUGGCGAUCUAGUGAAAAAGUUUGGAAACUGAAGUUCAAUUUUAAAAUAAAGAGGGACUCGCCACCGAUCCUUUUUACUAGGUGUGACCAGACACCUGUUAGACUUCUUUUUUUUAAAACAAAAGGAAGGCUAAAUUUAAGUCUACGUUAAAAGCCAGAGGAAAAUUAGGGUUCGGGAGUCGGUUACGCGCAAGGAAGGUAUUAGCACCCUCGCGACGCCCAAAAAUUGGUAUCUCAUAAACACAUGUUGUCUUAAUUUUAAAAAAUACGGUUCAAUGUAAAAUUUAGUCGUGAUCCGAUUAAAAAACAAGACUUUAGUUUCUUCCGUUUUUUCUUUUAGAAGGGUAUAUCACUUUAACAUGAGUCAAUUGACGUUCACCCAACAUAGCGAUGAACUUGAUAACUUAAUGUUAAAUCGAUAUAUUGCCUUGACUAUUGAAAUUAAUUAGAAAACCGGAACGUAAUUUUCAAGAGAAUGCAAGACAUAAUUUAUACGAAAUGAAAAUAAGCAAAUGAAACGACUUGACACAUUUGAAACAAAUAACAAACAUAACCAUAAUAUUAGAAAAUAAUAACCGUGCAUGCAAGAUCAAAUGCAAUGUUAGCAUUGAAUACGAGAACGUAACAAGGAUACAAUGAAUACACAUAUGAAGAUAAUUAAGAGCAUAUACGUAAAAUAUUUAUAUAAAUAGUAGUAGUGUUAGAAAUAUACUAUACGUAUAGUGUUUGAAGUACGUAUAAGAUAGUAAAAAAGUACAUAACUAGCAACAAUAAAAUAAAAUAUAUACAUAUAGGUGUAAAAAAUAAUAUUACAAAAAGGGUAGGUAUACAUGUAUAAAAAAUAGAUGUAUUAACAAUGAAUAUAAUAAUAAAUAUAAUAGUAGAAAAGAUAAUACUAUAUGAAAUGUGUAUAUAUAUAAUAACAUAUGUAUGCUAAUAUGAAUAAUGAUAAUAAUACUAAUAAUAAUAAUAAAACACGAAGAAGUAUAUAUAAUAUAAUGAAAAUAUGUAUGUCUAUACGUAUAUAUAUGUGUAUGUAUAAGAAUUAUAAAAUAUGAAAACAUAAUUACAUAUAUAUAAAUAACAUGCGCAUAUGUGUAUAUAAAGAUUUAAAUCAAGUAAUACAAAUAAUAAGAAAAAUAUUAGGUAAAUAAAAUAUACACAUAUAUAUAACUUAAAAUAAAUAAUAAAGGAAACUCCCCUGUUCUUUUUUUUAAAACAAAAAAAUAAUAAUAACUUAAAUGAAUUAAAGGAUGAAAAUUAAAAUCAAACCAAAAUCCGGGGGUCCAAACUGUAAAUAUAUGAAAUAUGUGGUAAAGGGACUGAAAUAAAAGGCGCCGAGGACAUGGGGGACCGAUUGCGCAAUAUUCCCUGUUUGAGUAAAACAAAAACUGUAUCGAAUGUGCCGCAGAAAUGGAGGGACCAAAGGUGAAAAAUACCCAUUAUGGCAAUAAUGUGCAGAUUUUCCUCCCUUAAACGACGCAGUUUAGAAUCUUGUAUAAAUAGAAAAAGAUAAAGCCCUAAAAAGCAUCAGCCUCCAUUUCCUUUUCUUUUUUUUAAAAAAACUGAGGAUUUCAAACCCUCUCAACUCCCAUUCCUCGGCCGUUCCGAUUCGCCGCCACGGCCGGUGGCCGGCGUCGCGCAAAGGGGGCUCCCGAUCCGCACGUUGAAGCACCUUUAAAGGUUCAAGCCUUGGAAAGGGGAAUCGAGGAGAAAACAAGAUCUUUGGCCCCCUCUCAAGCCCGAAUCCGACGACGGCAAAGGACCAUCGCCGGCCGGUCUAAGGGCCGAUUCAGGUGCACUCCCUCUUCCUUUUUUUAUAUUUAUUUUCUUUAUUAAAACGAAGUGGUAAAAAGAAAAGGAUAAAAUAAAAUAAAAUGAAAAUGCAAAAUGAAAAUGAAUAGAAACCGGUAAAGGCUUAACCUUUUUGAACUUCUAUUUUUUUUGUUUUUGAUUUCUAAUGUGCGUUUUUUUUACCAGGGAAAUCCCCCCCGAACCCUGAUACAAGAAAACAUUCGGCCUUUAUAGCCAAAAUACAAAAUCUUUCCGUUCUAUUCUCUGUCGUUUCUUUUUUGUCUAUCUCUUCUUUUUGUUGUUUUCUUUUUAGUCCGCGUGUCUUCUUCUCCUUGCAGGUGCCCGUGGCCGACAGUGGUGGCAGAGGCGUGCGAGUGGGCGUGGCAGACGAGGAGGCCACGCGAGGCAUGCGGCGCUAGGGUUUGGGGGGCAUCUUUCUGCCGAAAAUGUUAAUGUUGUCUGGGCUGGGUUUUUAAUUUUUGUUUUGGGCCAUGGGCUACAUUGGGCUUGUUAUUUUCCUUUGUAAUUGGACUGUUGUUUAUCUUGUUUUAAUAUUCGGGCCUGGGCAUAAAAUUGGGCCUUACAGCUGCCCCUCUUUGCUUGUUAUCGUGUAACGAGAACAGAGCAAAGACUAAGAAAGGCCAAUUUUGCCCGGGCUCGCCGAGUUUUGACUUCUUUUGGUGCUUCCUUUCUUCAAGUAGCCUCAUUCUAGUCCACUGUGUCUUAUGAUAUAUGCCUUGUAGUUUAAAUCUACUCCAAUGUGACUUCAAUCUGCUCUUUUAUCACUUCAGUGAGAUGAGAUUCGUGAUCUUCUCUUUUGUAACUCUAGCGAGACAAGAUUUGAUAUCCUCGAUCAGUUCCACUGCGACCUCAGGGAGACAAGACUUGCAACUUUUGACCGGCUCCACUGCAGCUUCAGGGAGACCAAGUCUGGUGUCUUUCAUCAACUUCAAUCUUUAUUCUUACUUGGCAUGUGAUCUUGAGCCCAACUCAUUUCUCGCAAUAUGAAUUGACUCUUUAAAAACAGACAUUAAAAACAAAAACUAAAGAUAUCUCAACAUGUGAACUGAGGCUCAACUCACUUUUCGCAAUAUGAGUUGAUUUUUUUGACAACAGAAAUUGAAAUUACCUCAGCGUGUCCUAAGGCUCAACUCAUUUCUCGCAAUAUGAGUUGAAUUUUGAAAAGCAGAAAUUGAAAAUACCUCAACGUGUCUUGAGGCUCAACUCAUUUAUCGCAAUAUGAGUUGAAUUUUGAAAACAGAAAUUGAAAUUACCUCAAUGUGUCUUGAGGCUCAACUUAUUUCUCGCAAUAUGAGUUGAUUCUUUCAAAAACAUAAUGACAAAAACAGAAAUGGAAAAUACCUCGGUAUGACCUGAGGCUCAACUCACCUCUCGCAAAUUGAGUUGAUUUUGAAAACAGAAAUUGAAAUUACCUCAGCGUGUCCUGAGGCUCAACUCAUUUCUCGCAAUAUAAGUUGAAUUUUGAAAACAGAAAUUGAAAUUAUCUCAGCGUGUCCUGAGGCUCAACUCAUUUCUUGCAAUAUGAGUUGAUUUUGAAAAACAAAAAUUGAAAAACAGAAAUGAAAAAUACCUCAACAUGUCCUGAGGCUCAACUCACCUCUUGCAAUAUGAGUUGAUUUAGAAAACAGACAUAAAAACAGAAAUUGAAAGUGACUCAACACGUGAGCCAAGGCUCAACUCACCUUUCGCAAUAUGAGUUGAUUUUUUUUGAAAGUAGAAUUUGAAAAUACCUCGGCGUGCCCCGAGGCUCAACUCACCUCUCGCAAUAUGAGUUGAUUUUUGAAAAAACAGAAAUUGAAAUUACCUCAGCGUGUCCUGAGGCUCAACUCACCUCUCGCAAUAUGAGUUGAUUUUUGAAAAACAUAAAUUGAACAGGAAUUGAAAAUACCUCAACGUGUCUUGAGGAUCAACUCACCUCUCGCAAUAUGAGUUGAUUUUUUUUUUUGACAACAGAAAUUGAAAUUACCUCAGCGUGUCCUGAGGCUCAACUCACCUCUAGCAAUAUGAGUUGAUUUUGAAAAACAAAAAUUGAACAGGAAUUGAAAAUACCUCAACGUGUCUUGAGGCUCAACUCACCUCUCGCAAUAUGAGUUGAUUUUCUUGAAAAGCAGAAAUUGAAAAUACCUCAAUGUGUCUUGAGGCUCAACUCAUUUCUCGCAAUAUGAGUUGAUUUUUUUGACAACAGAAAUUGAAAUUACCUCCGCGUGUCCUGAGACUCAACUCACCUCUAGCAAUAUGAGUUGAUUUUGAAAAACAAAAAUUGAAAUUACCUCAGCGUGUCCUGAGGCUCAACUCAUUUCUCGCGAUAUGAGUUGAUUUUUUUGGAAAGCAUGAAUAUCAAAAUACCAAAACUAGUCCUUUGGUAGAACUCGGGUAUCUUUUCCUUUGAUUCAGUGCGACUCUCAUUCAAGAUUUCUUGCUUUACUGGAUUACCUGUAUAUGCCAAGCAUGAUGUCAUCAUGAUAUGCACAUGUUUGUCUUAAAUGUCUUUAUGCCUACAUGAUUAUGCAGUGUUCCUUAAGCAUAUUGGUCGUAUGUCAUUUUCGCCAUGAUUGUUGAGGAUCUGCGUUCAUUGCUUUGAUUCUCGACCUUCUCUUCAGGCCUCAUACCUGUCUUCGAGCUUUACGAGUAAUCGACGUUUCUCAGAUAUCACCCUUUUGCCCUUGGUUAAACUUUGUUCUUGCUUUGAAGAUCUUGCACUUAUCAAAUUCUUAUCCGGAUAAUGCUUGACAUUUCUUUUGUUUAGAGUAUGUUAUUUCACUAUUUAUCAUUAAAUAAACACAUAAUGAGAUGCAUGAAAAUGGUCAGGUAAGGACAAAAAGGAUAUCUCAUAUUCCUUUAUUUCAAAUGCGGCAAACAAAGAAAGUUAACCAAUGAGAGUAAAAAUGUCAAAAAGAAAGAAAAGGUCGUAUUCAACGGAUACAAAUGCUCUAGAUAUUCAACACAUGAACUCUUCCACGUUCCUCAAUCAAUAAUCUUUUCGAGCAUGGCUUCUUGCGUAGAAAAUUUCAAGCUUUCAGAAGUGCUUCAAAUACUGUAGUCUCACUACUUGACCUAUCAUUCGACCGCCAGGUUUGUUUCAUUAGGACGCCCUCUCGGGUUUUCAUCCUAAUCUUUUUGUACUAAUCAAGACGCCCUUUUCGGGUUUUCGCCCUGAUCCCUCUUUUUUUUAUUUUUUAUUUUUUUUAAGAUGCCCUUUUCGGGUUUUCAUCUUAAGCAUAACAUUUCUUCACCGCAUCUGAAUUCACCGAAUUCGGUAACUCCUUCCCAUCUAUCUCGGUAAGGAUUAAAGCUCCUCCUGAGAAUGCCUUUUUUACAACGUAUGGUCCUUCCCAAUUUGGUGCCCAUUUUCCUCGCAGGUCUUUUUGUAUUGGGAGAAUCUUUCUCAGAACGAGUUCUCCUUCAUGGAACUCUCUUGGUCGUACCUUCUUGUCAUGGGCUGCAAUCAUUCUCUUUUGGUACAUUUGCCCAUGACAAAUUGCCUUUAGACGUUUUUCUUCAAUGAGGUUCAACUGAUCAUAUCGAGCUCGAACCCAUUCUGCUUCUUCUAACUUUGAUUCCAUCAAUACUCGCAGAGAGGGGAUCUCAACCUCGAUAGGUAGCACAGCUUCCAUUCCAUAGACUAGAGAAAAAAGAGUUGCUUCCGUAGAUGUUCACACAGAUGUACGAUAUGCAAAUAAAGCAAAUGGAAGUUUCUCGUGCCAAUCUUUAUAUGUCUCAGUCAUUUUCCCAAUGAUCCUCUUAAUGUUCUUGUUAGCUGCUUCAACAGCCCCGUUCAUCUUUGGGCGAUAGGGCGAGGAAUUAUGAUGCUUUAUUUGGAACUGCUCGCACACUUCUUUCAUCAUCUUAUUGUUCAGAUUCGUGGCAUUAUCUGAGAUGAUUCUUUCAGGCAAACCAUAUCGGCAAAUGAUUUCCUUUUUCAAAAACUUGCACACUGCAGUCUUCGUCACAUUGGCAAACGAAGCGGCUUCAAUCCAUUUUGUGAAGUAAUCGAUAACCACAAAAAUGAAUCGAUGUCCAUUUGAAGCUUUUGGAGAAAUUGGCCCUAUGACAUCCAUGCCCCACAUAGAAAAAGGCCACGGAGAAGUCAUGACAUGAAGGGGUGAAGGGGCUACAUGAAUUUUAUCGCCGUAGAUUUGACAUUUGUGGCAUUUUCUGGCAAAAUUGAUGCAGUCACUUUCCAUUGUCAGCCAAUAAUAACCGAGUCUCAUGAUCUUUCUGGCCAUAUUGAAACCAUUGGCAUGCGUUCCGCAAAUUCCCUCAUGGACCUCUUCAAGUAUUUUUCUGGCUUCAACAUCAUCCACACAUCUCAAAAGCAUCUGAUCCUUUCCUCUUUUAUAUAGGAUAUCCCCAUCAAGAACAAAUCCCGCUGCCAUUCUUCUAAUUGUUCUUUUAUCGUUCUCAUUCGCUUGUUCGGGAUACCUUUGAUUCUUGAUAUAUUCUAAGAUAUCAUGGAACCAAGGCCGUCCGUCUACUUCUUUCUCAAUGCUACAACAGUGUGCAGGGACCUCGUAUAUGCUCAUUUUGAGGGGCAUUAUUUCUGCUUCUCUACUUGCUUUGGACAUUGAAGCCAAAGUGGCUAGGGCAUCAGCCAAUUGGUUCUCUUCUCGUGGGAAGUAAUGAAAAGUUAUUUCUUUGAAUUCCUUGAUCAAUCCAGCCACUAAAUCGCUGUACUUAAUCAAUUUUGAGUCCCUCACUUCCCAUUCUCCACGGAUUUGGUAAAUCACUAGGGCUGAGUCCCCGUACACCUCCAAGAUCUCGAUGUUUCGUUCGAUAGCUGCACGAAGCCCCAUGAUAUAGGCCUCAUAUUCUGCGAUAUUAUUGGUACAGAAGAAGUUCAGUCUUGCAGUGAACGGAUAAUGAUUCCCGUCUGGUGAUACCAGGAUUGCUCCAAUUCCAUGCCCUAAAGCAUUUGACGCACCAUCAAAGCACAUCUUCCAUGACUUCUCUUUUGAUGACUCGGAUUCUAUUUUUGUGAUGCACAUUAAGUCUUCGUCUGGGAAAUCGAAUCUUAAAGGCUCAUAUUCUUCUGUCAUUCGAGUUGCUAAGAAGUCAGCUAUUGCGCUCCCUUUUAUCGACUUCUGACCUACAUAGGCAAUGUCAUAUUCCGAAAGGAGGAUCUGCAAUCGUGCCAUUCUUCCUGAUAGUGCCGGCGAUUCCAUCAUGUAUUUUAUUGGGUCCAGCUUUGAAAUUAGCCAUGUCGUGUGAUACAACAUAUAUUGUCUGAGUCUCCGAGCUACCCAAACCAGAGCGCAACAAUAUUUCUCAAUGGACGAAUAUUUUGCCUCAUAUUCAGUGAACUUUUUGCUGAGGUAGUAGAUCGCCUUUUCUUUUCUCCCUGACUCAUCAUGUUGCCCCAGUACGCAACCCAUUGAGUUUUCAAACACGGUCAGGUAUAAAAUUAAGGGUUUUCCAAGGGUCGGUGGUACUAGCACAGGAGGAUUAGACAGAUACCGUUUUAUCUUAUCGAAGGCCACUUGGCACUCCUCGUUCCAUUCUCCCGGGUUAUGUUUUUGAAGGAGUCGAAAAAUUGGGUCGCAUUGGUUGGUAAGUUGAGCAAUGAAUCGAGCAAUGUAAUUCAACCUCCCUAAAAAUCCCCUGACUUCUUUCUGUGUGCGCGGGGGAGGUAAUUCUUGGAUGGCUUUUAUUUUAUCUAGAUCAACUUCGAUACCUCUUUCACUAACAAUGAAGCCUAGCAAUUUUCCCGAGGUAGCCCCGAAUGUACAUUUGGCUGGAUUAAGCUUUAGCUGAAACUUUCUCAGCCUUUCGAACAACUUCUUGAGGUUCAUUACAUGUACUUCUUCUCCUCGAGAUUUAGCAAUCAUAUCAUCGACGUAGACCUCUAUUUCCUUAUGCAUCAUGUCAUGGAAUAAUGUCACCAUAGCCCUCUGAUAUGUUGCCCCAGCAUUCUUUAACCCGAAUGGCAUCACCUUGUAGCAGAACGUUCCCCACAUUGUUAUGAAGGUAGUUUUCUCCAUAUCCUCAGGGGCCAUCUUGAUCUGAUUAUACCCCGAGAAUCCAUCCAUGAAAGAAAACAAUGAAUGUUUUGCUGUGUUGUCCACCAACGUGUCAAUAUGUGGCAAGGGAAAAUUAUCUUUUGGGCUUGCUCGAUUCAGGUCACGGUAAUCCACGCACAUUCGUACUUUUCCAUCUUUCUUUGGUACCGGGACUAUGUUAGCCACCCAUUCUGGAUAUUUGGAGGCUUGUAGGAAGCCAGCGUCAAAUUUCUUCUUGACUUCCUCUUUUAUUUUCAACAGCAUUUUGGGUCUCAUCCGUAUUAAUUUUUGCUGGAUGGGCUUGCAUUCUGGCUUUAAUGGGAGCUUAUGGACCACUAAAUCUUCAUCUAGCCCUGGCAUGUCCUAGUAUGACCACGCGAAAACAUCUUUGUAUUCGCGGAGUAAAGUGAUCAAACUAUGCCUGGUACUUUCUGAAAUAGAAGUCCCAAUCUUCACUUCUUGUUUCCUCUCUUCAGUGCCCAAAUUUAUUGUUUCCACAGAUUCUUCAUGAGGCAGAACCUGUUUAUCCUCUUGUUCCACCAUUCUUAACAAUUUAGGAGACGAGACAUAAUCUUCAGCAUUUUCUUCGGCUUCAAAUUCUCCUAAGCAAACAGCCUUCUCAAAAUCAAUUUCAAGAUUCGUAACGGGCUUAUUCAUGUCGUCAAUAUCUGAGCACCUGAAAGUUGAAUGGAAAAGGAAGCUAUAGGGGGACAUAUAAGUAUUGGAAACAACAAACAAAUGUUAUGACAUGGUAAUGAGGCAAAUGUAAGGAUGAGAAAAUGAUUAUGAAAUUAGUGAUAAUGCGAAAAAUCGUGACAAAAUGCAUCUUCAUUGAUAUUCAUUUAAACGAUAAAGAGCGAAUGCAAACUCUUACAAAAGAAUUCUAUUAUAUCUAAGGACACAAUAGAAGGUUGAUGUUUAGCAUUACUCUGAAGGCUUAUAAACUACAAGAAGCUCCUCAGCAAUCUAAUUGUUCAACAUGAAACCAGGGGGGCAAGGGCAUAUCCUCGAGACAUCUUUACUUGCACCAGCUUCUUUGUCAAUGACAUUUAUACUGACAUUCUGAAAAUCCCUUUCAAUUAAUCCCAGCAUGUUUCGUGGAUCAUCUUGUCCAGGGUACAUCAUUCCCGCAGAUGUAAAUGUUUUUGACAAAGGAGGGUACUCUAUUGGUUCCCAUUCUGGUUCUCGGCCCAAAGUUCUUGCAAUUCUUCUCUCUUGAUCCUUCUUCCACUGUCUUCUUCUUUGACGCAUGUCAGGCUAGAACCCCAAACCGUAUCGGGCCUUGUGCUGCACUGGCUUUAAAGCCCUCACUAUUCCUUGCAGAUGUCUCCCUAAACCUCUUCUCGCACGAGCUCCCCUUCCUACGGUCAACUUGACACCCAUUCUGGUAUUUCUCGACAGUUUUGGCAUCAGAAUUCUAUUUCCCUCAGCGACGAAAGUGGCAUUGAUAAAUUCAAGGGAUUGAAAGGAACAUUCCACUGCGUCCUUGCUUACUUCCAGGUAUGGCGCAUCAGUAGAGAUAGAUGCGACGAUGUCUUCUUCGCCCUCGACUGUGACCAAACAGCCAUCCAUGAUGAAUUUCACCUUUUGAUGGAGGGAUGAUGGGACUGCUCCAGCAGAAUGAACCCAAUGUCUUCCCAAAAUGCAAUUAUAAGAGGGUGUAAUGUCCAUGACUUGGAAUUCGACCUCAUAGAUGUAGGGACCCACUUCUAAAGAGAUUUCGAUCUUUCUCAUAACUUCGCGCCUCGUCCCGUCGAAUGCCCUUACCGUGGAAUGACAGGGCUUUAAGUAGGACAAAUCCAUCGGUAUUCUGGAAAGCGUAGCCAAUGGCAUAACAUUUAUCGCUGACCCAUUAUCGAUGAGUACGUUCGGUAUUAUGUAGCCCUUGCAGCGGGUCGUGAUAUGCAGCGCUUUCACCGAGCCUCUACCAUUUGGCAGUAUCUCAUCAUCACUAAAAGAGAUAAAGUUGUCCGCAUUCAGAUUGUUUACCCACCUAUCAAGCUUUUCGACAGAUAUGUUGUUGGCCACGUAAGCUUGAUUUAACACCUUCAAUAAAGCGUUCCGGUGUGGCUCUGAAUUUAACCGUAGAGAUAGAACUGAGAUUCGUGCUGGCUGCUUGCUCAAUUGUUCCACCACACUAUAUUCGCUGUGCUUAAUAAAUUUCAAGAAUUCUUGAGCUUCUUCCUCAUUCACAGGCUUUUUAGUUUCUUGCACGGGUGGAAUUUCUUGCUCGACUUCGACCUCGUACAUCACUGCUUUCCCUUUUUGCUUUGAGUCGCUACUUUUCUUUACCGGUUCAACUUUUUUAGAAUAGCAUCGUCCACUUCUAGUAAAAUGACCUACCUCCCCAACAUCUUCAGUUAUGGCUUUGGACUUUUCAACUUUCGGUGUAACGAUAUUAACAUCAUAUUUCCACGGUACUAUUUUGUUGUCCUUAUACGGGAAAGGAGAUGGUACUUCAAUUACCAUCUGUGGUUUCAAUGGCUCUCUCAUCGCGUCGUAAUAAAUUACCAACGGUCGAUCAGCACUAUAAGGGGGCCCUGAUGAUUGGCUAUCAGAGACGCAUACUUCUCUUUCGUUGGCAUCUUCACUCUUGUUAAGGACCUUGAUCUCCUUAUUAUCCAUCCGGUCUUGAAGUAACCUUUUAAAGUCCUCACAUGACUGAAUGUCAUGUCCAACAAUCCCAUGAAAAUUGCAAAAUCUUUGACCUUCUUCUCCAAAAAUUCUAUCAGAGUGACAGAGCAAUCAUUUCUUAACCAAUACCUCCCAGAUUUUUUGUAGAGGCGUCCUUAUUUCUGAUACACAUCUUCUGACCUUCCAUUCAUCCUCUUUCCCCACUGUGCUCACAUUCCCUUCGGUAUGGUUAGGGAACGGGUUCCCCGUGGCGUUACUAGCACUAUCGAAUCGUAGGAUACCCGCGUCAAUGAGUCCUUGAACUCUCCUUUUGAAAGCGAGACAGUUCUCAGUAGAGUGCCCUUGGUUCCCUGCGUGGUAUGCACAACUAGCGUUUGGAUCGUACUACUUUGGGUAUGGAGGUUUAAGGGGUGCCAUGUAAUGGGGAGAAAUUAGCUAUUUUUCUAAAAGUUUUGGGUACAAUUCCCCAUACGACACAGGGAUGAGGGUAAAUUACGGUCUCUCGGGAUUAUGCCUUGAUUGGCUUUGGACGGGUACCAUGUUUUGUGGAAAAAUGGUGACGGGUCUUUGGUUGUUCGUGGCGUAUACGGGGCAGGACGGAUGUGGUGCUUGGUAGUAAGGGGUUUGAGGGGGAUAAUAGGAAUUCGGGGGUGGAUAAUUUCGAGGUCGGGGUUGGUUAGGAUACGAAUUGGGAAUGUAACGACUUCCAGUUCCCACCAUGUGGGCUUCUGGCUCUUUCUUCCUUAAGGGUGCUACUUUUCUUGAGCCUUCUGAUCCUUUCAUUCUACCGCUCUUGACGGCAUUCUCUAUGAGUUCACCGGAUAUUACAAUAUCCGUGAAAUCUUUCGUGGCACUUCCCACUAAUUUGUCAUAAAACGGUGCCUUUAAAGUAUUGAUAAAGAGAACGGUUAUCUCCGUUUUUGUUAGUGGGGGUUCCACUUGAGCUGAGAUGUCUCUCCAUCUCUGCGCAUACUGUCUAAAGGUCUCUGAUGGCUUUUUCUCCAUCAUUUGCAAGGUCAUACGGUCUGGUACCAUAUCCGAUACAUGCUUGUACUGUUCGCAAAAUGCUGACGCCAAGUCCUUCCAGGAUCGAAUCUUUUCUCUACUAAGUUGAUUGUACCACCGAAGAGCUGACCCUGUUAGACUAUCUUGAAAGCAAUGUAUGAGUAGUUUAUCCUCGUUCACAUAACUGGUCAUUUUUCGACAGAACAUAAUGAGAUGUGCUUUCGGGCACCUUGUCCCAUCAUACUUCUCAAAAUCAGGCACUUUGAACUUCGGAGGCAAAAUUAGAUCAGGUACCAAACUGAGUUCCUUGGCACCUAGUGCGGAGAAGACUUCAGUGCCUUCUAUUGCUUUGAGUCUUUCCUCUAGACUCCUAUAUUUUGCGUCAUGGUUAUCCAAUUUCAACUUGGCUACCUCUGCUGGGUCAUCCAGAUCUGGAACUAGUGGAUUAGCAGAACUAGCCCCUGGGUUCGACGCUAACAUUCCUUGCCCCAAAUUAGUGGGUGGAGCAGGUGGCAUAGGUCGAUGUUCCAAGCCAGUGGGUUCCUCUUGAGUAUACCCUCUUUGUAUUGUAUAUGCGGGCGGUGGAGUGAAUCCCGGGGGAUAGAGUGGAUCCUGAUCAUGGUGAAUUCUUGACCGAGGUUCCAUAACAUCGGGGUUCUGCAUUUUUCCUUUGACCAAAGUUGUCAUCAUCUCCAUCAUUUUAGCCAUCUGAUCUCUUUGCUCGAGAGAUUCCCCUCGAGAUCUCACCAUUAGGUCUCUCGUCUCUUGUUGCGAUUUGGCCAGUUGCUCUUGUAAUUCCUUUUGAGCCCUUUCCAUCCUUUCAAUUCUCUCAUUGAAUUCAUUCUCCAUUACUCUAGCUUGUCGGCGCGUUUUAUACGGAUGACGUGGUUCCAGUCUUGAAGUCUAGCAACUGCGAAUUGUACGUUUUAACCUAAGCGAACGAGUAUGGGAUAUGCAAUGAAUGAACUGAUGCAUGAAUGAAUGCAUGAAUGUCAAAUGAAUGUCAGUUAUGACUGAAAUGCAAGAAAUUGGUGUUGAUUUCAAGAUAGCCCCAUAUUUAGGCAUUUCAUUUAUCAACAUAGUCUAUUACACAAAGUUCUCAUUUUUCCAACAGUUACACAAAUUUCCUAGCCACAUUGCCUUGUUUCUUCACUUGCUCUAAAAACUCUGAUAUGCUCGAUCUUUGGCUCGAAGGGAAUUGGCAACUGAGAACUUCGGCUUCAUCUGAUAAUUGAACAACUUGCAUAGCCGCUUUACGAAUUUCAUUGAUUAAGAAGUCAAGUUGCAUUUCUUUUUCUUUGAGGGUUCCUUCAUACGCGUGAAUGUCCUUAUCGUACUACUCACUAUUUUCUUCUAGAGCCUUCAAGAGGUUAUCUAAUUGUUGUUGACGAGAUUGCAGCAUAUUUUCUAGAUCUCGUGUUUUCCUUUUUAAUUCUUGAUGUUCAGACUGACUAUUCGCCAAUUUUGCAGCCACUAUUUCAUACUCGGCGUUCUUCCUUCUUAACUCUAUCACAGCGCGCGCAGCCUUUUCCUCCUCUUUCUUUGCUUAUCCCUUCCAAAACUCCAUUCCUCCCUUGAUAUUGCUAAUUUCUUCCUUCCAUUCUGCUGUCGACUUGCCCAACCCGCUAUUCUUUAUAGUGUUUCUUAAUUUCUUGUUUUCCAAAUGAAGGUCCCUUAAGUCGUUUCUCACAAUCUCGGCUUCUCUUUGUACUUUUUCAGUCCUGGACCUUUCAACCUGAACUUCAAUCUUCAGUUGAUAGUUUUCUUCUUGAAGGGCACUAAGGUCCCGAGACAUCUUGGCCUUUUCUCGUUCGAAUUCUUGUCUUGCCAUUUCUAGCUCAGACGGCGUUUCCUCCGAGAAAGGAUUCUGGAUGGUGUAGUUUGUUGAUGAGAUUUGCUGACUAUUUACCCGUUGCUUCCUCCAUAUGUCGUAAUCUUGGGUAAGGGUAUCAGCAUACAAAGCUAAUUCCAUGAAAUGAAUUUCCUUCCAAUACUUUGCAGUGUCCCGGACUCUCUUCAUAUAUCCUUCACCCGCGAAAGCGAACUCGAACUGUGCUAAUCCUCCAGUUGCGGGGAGGAAUUGUCGUGAAGAAAACUGCCUUUGAACUAAUAGCGGGGCAUAUCCAAUUCCUCCCCAUAACCCGAGUAAAGGUACCCAAUCUUGGCUUCCACAUUUGUAUAGCAAAACUGAAGGACGGAUCCAGGGUGCUCUCCAUGUUAUAUUCUCGGCGCGAAGAUUCUAAAAAACUGAUACCCAAUGUUGCUUGGUGACUUCCUUCGGCCAUUCUUUAUUGAGGUAAGCUUCUAGCGGGGAGAAUGUUUUAGAAAACAUAUGGAACGGAGUGUGCUCUACCUUCCAGAAGUGACUCAAAAUCCAAACAUUGAGCAACUGCGCGCAUCCGAUAAAUCGUCCCUCCCCUUUUCUUCUACAACUACUCAGGGACCUGAAGGUCUCGGCUAGGAUGGUCGGGACAGGGUUGAUUCCUUGUUUUAACCUUUCGAAGAAAUCAACUACUGCAACUUCGAGAUGUCCGAGAACUUUUGGGAAAAUGACCAAACCGUAAAUGGCCAAAGCGAAUAGAUUUACCCUUUUCAACAUGUUGGGAUGGUUCAGAGCCAAAUCUCGUAGGGAGGACCAUGGAAUGCAAAUGGUUUCAUUCUUCUUCUUUAUCUGUUUUUCGGCCCAUGCAUCAGUCAUGUCUGUCAGUCUCACUAACUUUUUCUUGAAGGUCAUCGGCUUAGGCUCUUUCACAUAUAUUUUGCUGAAUUGUACAUUGUCGAUGCGGAGUAAAGCAGCAUACUCUUCUAUGGUUGGAGUCAUGUCUUCUUGAUUGAAGGUGAAACACUGAUAAGCUGGGUCCCAGAAUCGAACCAUGGCUUGAAUCAACUGUUCGUCUAUACGGAUGGUGAUCAGGUGAGCUAUAUCUCUAUACCUCUCAGUGAAAAUGUCUCUAGUGUCUGAAUCCCACUGAUUCCAAAUUCGAACCAAAUCCUCAAGGUUAUUUUGGCGAACAUUUACAGUUAUAUGUUCGGGCAAAUUGGGGACACAUCCUUCCACUAGACUAUCCCCCUUUUCUUUCUGAAUUUUUAGAGACCAGUCCCGAACCACGGCACUCUUCUCGGUUAUUUGUGUAAUUGACUCCUCCAUCAGAAACCCGUUUUUUGGCAACCAACCCUUAGUCAACACCUUCUUAAUAUGAUGCCUAUGAUGCAUGAUGAAAAUAAAAGUGAAAACAAACAAACUUGGUUAGUAAACACAACAAAUAUAAUUUGAAAAAUAAAUUAAACUACCCAAUCCAAUUAUUUUGCACAAACAGUGUAAAUGGAUGGCAAAAGGUAUUUUCCCCGUAUACUUGUUUUGGUGACUAUAAGCGGACAGAGGUUCGGCAUGGCUCUAAUUGGAUAGCUCGUAUGGUUCACUAUAUGCGGUUUUGGUUCUAGGUGGGUACUCGAAUUGCCCGUACUAUCAUCUGCUAAGAUUAGCACAGAGCCUCGGUCAUGGCCCAUCAUAGGCUUACGAGAUCAAUUCGAGGGAUUACAUUUACUUAUGCCUAUGCGGAGGGACAAGUUAACUCACGAAAGCAUAAGUCAUAUGUAACCCGAAAGUAUUCACUAGCCUGUGCGGAGGGACGAGUUAACUCACGAAGGCGUAGCAUUUACUUUCACUUAAACGGACGGAGCCCGGGUAGAGAGCUCAUGUUAUGCGAAAAUGCAAGUACACGGUGUGUGGGGAACAACUCAUAAACCUUUACGUUUCACUUAAAGAAACUAAACCAAAAUUAAAACCAUAAAAAUUGAAACACUGAAAAACAACCAAAUAAGCAAGUUAGAAGAAAUAUUUACAGCACGAUACAAAUGCAUGAAUUUUGAAAACGAGAUUUUCGGAUCAUGACCAAAUAUUUACUUUGAACAAGGAAAUUUGAAAAUUUUGACAAAAUGUGUUUAAUUCCAGACACGACUCUCAACAAGGCGGUCCCCAGUGGAGUCGCCAGCUGUAGCGACGUAAAAAUUGGUUCCGGGGUCGCUAAUUGUGGCGAUCUAGUGAAAAAGUUUGGAAACUGAAGUUCAAUUUUAAAAUAAAGAGGGAGUCGCCACCGAUCUUUUUUACUAGGUGUGACCGGACACCUGUCAGACUUCUUUUUUUUAAAACAAAAGGAAGGCUAAAUUUAAGUCUACGUUAAAAGCCAGAGGAAAAUUAGGGUUCGGGAGUCGGUUACGCGCAAGGAAGGUAUUAGCACCCUCGCGACGCCCAAAAAUUGGUAUCUCAUAAACACAUGUUGUCUUAAUUUUCAAAAAUACGGUUCAAUGUAAAAUUUAGUCGUGAUCCGAUUAAAAAACAAGACUUUAGUUUAUUCCGUUUUUUCUUUUAAAAGGGUAUAUCACUUUAACACGAGUCAAAAUACGUUCACCCAACAUAGCGAUGAACUUGAUAACUUAAUGUUAAAUCGAUAUAUUGCCUUGACUAUUGAAAUUAAUUAGAAAACCGGAACGUAAUUUUCAAGAGAAUGCAAGACAUAAUUGAUACGAAAUGAAAAUAAGCAAAUGAAACGACUUGACACAUUUGAAACAAAUAACAAACAUAACCAUAAUAUUAGAAAAUAAUAACCGUGCAUGCAAGAUCAAAUGCAAUGUUAGCAUUGAAUACGAGAACGUAACAAGGAUACAAUGAAUACACAUAUGAAGAUAAUUAAGAGUAUAUACGUAAAAUAUUUAUAUAAAUAGUAGUAGUGUUAGAAAUAUACUAUACGUAUAGUGUUUGAAGUACGUAUAAGAUAGUAAAAAAGUACAUAACUAGCAACAAUAAAAUAAAAUAUAUACAUAUAGGUGUAAAAAAUAAUAUUACAAAAAGGGUAGGUAUACAUGUAUAAAAAAUAGAUGUAUUAACAAUGAAUAUAAUAAUAAAUAUAAUAGUAGAAAAGAUAAUACUAUAUGAAAUGUGUAUAUAUAUAAUAACAUAUGUAUGCUAAUAUGAAUAAUGAUAAUAAUACUAAUAAUAAUAAUAAAACACGAAGAAGUAUAUAUAAUAUAAUGAAAAUAUGUAUGUCUAUACGUAUAUAUAUGUGUAUGUAUAAGAAUUAUAAAAUAUGAUAACAUAAUUACAUAUAUAUAAAUAACAUGCGCAUAUGUGUAUAUAAUGAUUUAAAUCAAGUAAUACAAAUAAUAAGAAAAAUAUUAGGUAAAUAAAAUAUACACAUAUAUAUAACUUAAAAUAAAUAAUAAAGGAAACUCCCCUGUUCUUUUUUUUAAAACAAAAAAAUAAUAAUAACUUAAAUGAAUUAAAGGAUGAAAAUUAAAAUCAAACCAAAAUCCGAGGGUCCAAACUGUAAAUAUAUGAAAUAUGUGGUAAAGGGACUGAAAUAAAAGGCGCCGAGGACAUGGGGGACCGAUUGCGCAAUAUUCCCUGUUUGAGUAAAACAAAAACUGUAUCGAAUGUGCCGCAGAAAUGGAGGGACCAAAGGUGAAAAAUACCUAUUAUGGCAAUAAUGUGCAGAUUUUCCUCCCUUAAACGACGCAGUUUAGAAUCUUGUAUAAAUAGAAAAAGAUAAAGCCCUAAAAAGCAUCAGCCUCCAUUUCCCUUUUUUUUUAAAAAAAACUGAGGAUUUCAAAUCCUCUCAACUCCCAUUCCUCGGCCGUUCCGAUUCGCCGCCACGGCCGGUGGCCGGCGUCGCGCAAAGGGGGCUCCCGAUCCGCACGUUGAAGCACCUUUAAAGGUUCGAGCCUUGGAAAGGGGAAUCGAGGAGAAAACAAGAUCUUUGGCCCCCUCUCAAGCCCGAAUCCGACGACGGCAAAGGACCAUCGCCGGUCGGUCUAAGGGCCGAUUCAGGUGCACUCCCUCUUCCUUUUUUUUAUAUUUAUUUU
rnacentral:lncRNA from 1 species